rnacentral:rRNA from 1 species
UACAGAGGUCUCAAGCGUUGUUCGGAUUCAUUGGGCGUAAAGGGUGCGUAGGUGGCGCUGUAAGUCAGGUGUGAAAUUUCGGAGCUUAACUCCGAAACUGCAUUUGAUACUGCGGUGCUUGAGGACUGGAGAGGAGACUGGAAGUUUAACGGUGUAGCAGUGAAAUGCGUAGAGAUCGUAAGGAAGACCAGUGGCGAAGGCGGGUCUCUGGACGAGUUC